rnacentral:rRNA from 1 species
AUGGCUGCCGCAAACGGACUAGUCCAUGCAUCUGCCAAGAAGCCCUUGUUCACAUUUGGCGUCAUUGCUGAUGUCCAGUAUGCCGAUAUCCCAGACGGCCGCUCGUUCCUCGGCGUCCCACGCUACUACAGGCACAGCAUCAGCGUCCUUCAAAGAGCUGUCAGCACAUGGAACAAGCAAGGCAAUAUCAAGUUCUCGAUCAACUUUGGAGACACCAUCGACGGGUUCUGCCCAAAGGACAAGUCGCUGUGGGCGGUGCAGAAGGUCAUUGACGAGUUUGAGAAGUUCGAUGGCCCGACCUACCAUAUGUUUGGCAACCAUUGCCUCUACAACCUUCCUCGGAGCAAGCUGGUGGCAUUGUUGAAGAUGCCGACGGAUUCUGAUCGCGCGUAUUAUGACUUCUCACCAUGUCCCGAGUACAGAUUUGUUGUUCUGGAUGCUUAUGAUUUCAGCGCACUUGGCUGGCCUCACGAUCAUCCUGUGACUGCAGCAGCAUUGAAGCUCCUCGAUGAAAAGAACCCAAACACCGACAAGAACAGCCCUGACGGUCUUUUUGGUGUCGACAGGCGGUUUGUGAAGUUCAAUGGUGCAGUUGGCAAGGAGCAGCUGUCCUGGCUCAACGAUGUCCUCCAGGAUGCAUCGGACCGCCGGCAGAACGUCAUCCUAUGCAGUCAUCUCCCAAUGGACCCUGGCGCAGUGUACCCAGCAGCUCUUAUGUGGAACUAUGAUGAGGUGAUGGCUAUCGUUCGACGAUACAACUGUGUUAAGGCCUGCUUUGCCGGACACGACCACAAGGGUGGCUACUCAGUGGACUCCCAUGGCGUGCACCAUCGCACCCUUGAGGCUGCGCUGGAGUGUCCUCCUGGCACCAGUGCAUUCGGGCAUAUCGAAGUUUAUCCUGACAAGCUAUUGCUUGUAGGCUCUGAUGGAAUGGCUGAUACUGAAAUGUGUUUUCGGUCCUCUGAUCGAGCUGCGUUGUAG